GUGGCAGAGUGCCCGCAUGAAGCGACUUGGGGGAGAGCCCAAGCCGUGGCAGUGGAACUUGGCGAAGGAGACCACGUAUCCCUUGGGCGGCUGUCACACCCCAAAAUUCCUACAUUGGAAUGUGACUUAGAAAACACUAAAAACAAAGCCAAAGAUUUUAUUAUUUUAUAAAAUGUUCCAACUUUAGUUAUGUUGUCAACAUUUUAGAUAUUGGGAAAAAUGUGAGUUUCUAAUUUUUUUUCAAUUUAACUUAAUGUUUGUUGCACUCAUGCUGUUGCACAAUGUUUAUGAUUGAAAAAUGAAUUUAUUUGUUUCCAAAAUACGCCUAGGGUUUGAUCCCAUCUUCAUCUCCCUAAAAUACCAAAUCGGUAUUCAAAACUCCAAUCAAGUCUUUUGCUAACAUCCAACAAAAAUCUAGCAUGUCCUAUUCUCUUUCUCUUUCCUUUCUUUUCUUUCUUGAGCUCUCAAUCAUUUUCGUGUCCAUGAAGUAUUCGGGCCAAUUUCUAUUGUCUCUCAAUCAUUCAUUAUAAAUGAAUCUUAAAUUUCCUUGCUCUUUCCUAUGAAAACAACAUCCCUCUCCUUAUGCUAUAGCCCCUACUUUUUCCGUUCAACCAAAAAUAACAGUUACACAUAAUGCUCAUUCACAAAUUUUCUUUGAUACAUUUUCUUUUAAUCACCACCCCUUAAUCUCUCCAUUUUAUUUUUGAGCAGCAACUAAAUAGCAGAGCAUGGCCAGACUCCACAUUCCUUUACUGCUCUCGUGCAAAAACAAAUGCAAUACUCCAAUUGUUCUUCUUAUCUUCAAUUGCAUGAAAGCAUACAACAGAUAUUAAUAUAUUCUUUCCUUCCCAUUCACGUGGAGAAGUAGCCCCUUCCUUCAUAGUCAUCCUCUCGCCUUUCUCCUGUCACACAAUAUUCUUCCACCUCAUGCAAAUGACAAUACCAUUUAAUCUCUCGGUCCCUUAAUUUCCUAGCUCAACUCCUCAGUAUAUUAGUUCUAUAUAAUCUUCUUUAUGUCUCCGUUUUGAUCAAGCUCUAAUGCCCAUAAACACUAAAGAAAAUAGAUGGCUGGCCUCCACAGUCUUCUGCUGCCUAGACGCCACUCUAGUCCUCAUGCCAAAAUACGAUGCAACAUUUUUUUCCUUUUAAUUUCAUAUACCCAUCUCUCUCUUAAUAGUGCUCCUUUAAUCCUUCAUUUGUUUUCUACAUUUGUUUCCACCUUUCAAUUACAUGCAUGCAAAUAACCAACAAUAUUUUCUCUUCCUCAUCAAGUGAGCAGCAAACCACCUCUCCUGACUGUGGCGCCUUCUCCCAAUUCUCUCAUGCAAAACAGCAACAAUAACUAAUUCUUCCUUCUUCAAAUCUCAUGGUAACAUCUUCUUUCUUUAUUUCUCUCUUGGCAGUACCCCUACACUCCCUCUUUCCUGUGCAUGCAACCAUGCAGAGAACAACUAGCUGCAUCUUCUCCUCAUCUCUCUCUCACGCACAGCGAAUCACUCUCCUCCUCUAUGACACCUCCUCCCAUUCCAUCAUGCAAAACAAUUGCAACAUUACUCUCCUUAAUCUCCCUCUCAAUCUCUACUCCAUUAAUCUAUUUCUUCAAUUGCAUGAAGGGGCAGUAGCUUUAUUUCCUCCUCCAUUUCUCCUUCACGCACACUGCAGAUGGACAGCCCCUCUUCCCCCUCUCCUAUGCCGUCAUUGUCUCUCCCUCAUGCAGAAAUAACCACAGCCCUCCUCCCUUAAUUCCCUUCGUUACACCUCUCUUUCAUGCUCUCUUAUGUCAGCUCCUUUACUCCAUUGCAUGCAUGCACAUAACUACAGCAAUAUCUCCUUCCUGUCUCUCUCACGCAGGAGGCUCCCUCUCCUUCUCCUAUAAAUAUAACCCCCAUUGCCCCCUACAAUUUCCCUUGCAUUCCUGCUGUUCUACUCUCCCUAAAGAUAUCUCUUGGACACCCCUCCCUCUUGCAGGUGAAGAAGAGGACACAAAAAUACAGCCAUGGCUGCCUCCUUCCCCUUCCCUCUCAGUGCAACAAUUUGUUUUUGCCACUACACAUCGAAACUCAUCACUGGAAUCCAGUGCAUCAUGCCAUGGGCUACAUAGCAGAGCUGCAGCACUUCAUGGAUGCCACCCCGGCAUGCCUUGUUGUUUUCCCGAACCAGCAGCCCCAUCCCGUCGAUCGUCAACCGCUUUGCUGUCCAUCAUCAGUGUUGGACGCCAUCGAGCUCAUCCCUGGCAACCACGAACCAUGAUGUUCUCUUGUGAUGCUUGUAUCGAUUGAUUGCUGACGUUAGAAGUGGAGCUACAUGAGGAGUAUAUCUUUGAGAAGUGGAACCAUCGGCAAGUGUUUUGGAAGGCAAGUGUAACAUGAGUUCCCUUGUUACCUAAUAACUAUUUAAUCACCUCUUAAUGUGCAUGUGCCUAAUAUGAUAAACCCAUAAGGACUUUACCUAGAAUAUUGUAUCUUGUAUCCUUGUUUACCCUGGGGUUAUGCAUAUGGGUAGUUUGCUUAGUCUGCAAUCACCAAACUGUAUAAUACUAAUACUGAUUAAUGAUUAUGGAAUCAAUAUUAUAAUGAUGCUUUCUAGCAACAUGGAUAUCAUGGGGCUAGAGCAUUGGGCCUUUUUGGGUGCUCUAGUCUGCCCUCCAUAAGGACUGAAUCUUAAAGCAGCAACCCAGGACUUACAGUACAAUCAUGAGAAUCACAUGGCUCUAAUCUUAAUCAAGUAUCUAGUACGUCUCUAGCUUGUUAGUGGUUACCGAAAGGCGCAAGAGGGGGGUGCCUCGUGGUGUAUAGUUUUGAUCCUACCUUGGUGUGUACAGUGCCGCGACCACAUGUGCCUCUUGGAGGAGGUCUCUAUGCACACUUGCCGCUGAAACCUCGCGGCCACUAACUAGUUAGGGUGUCUAGUGAAAGGUUACGUAGUGAUCCCUACCAACUUACCUUGGAAGUGAGUCAAGAGGUUGGCUCCCUCAGGCAAAGGGCAAUCACGACUCAUGGGUAAAGAUGUACAUACUCUGUAGAGUUAUAAAAACUGAGAUAUCAGUCGUGCUCUCGGUCAAGAGCGGCCUGGAUCCUUUUCGAGAUAGAUGGUUCUAUGGAUGGGUUGGGUGAUGAGUAAUGUUGAUGUUAAUUAUACUUCUCACCUUGGGAGCUUAAGCAUAACCUAGAAACAUAGGUCUAAUAAUAAAAUAUGACCAACUAAAAAUGCUUAUCGCAGUCAAACCAAGUCAAGCCUUUUGAGCCUUGCAUCCCCUCAUGUUAUACUUGUUGAGUAUGGUGCGCUCACACUUGCUUUACAUUCAACAAUCAAAAAUCCCGGAUGGUACCAGAUGGUGAAUCAAAGGUGGAGUUCCUUAAGACAUUCCAGGAGUACUAGGCGAGUGUACCCCCAGUCAACCGUCUCUGUGGAAAAUGGAGACCCAAAGUGAAGAUUAGAAUUAGUUUCCGCUAUGCUUUGUAAUAGAUG